rnacentral:rRNA from 1 species
GUAGGGAAUAUUGCACAAUGGGGGAAACCCUGAUGCAGCGACGCCGCGUGAAGGAAGAAGUAUUUCGGUAUGUAAACUUCUAUCAGCAAGGAAGAAAAUGACGGUACUUGACUAAGAAGCCCCGGCUAAAUACGUGCCAGCAGCCGCGGUAAUACGUAUGGGGCAAGCGUUAUCCGGAUUUACUGGGUGUAAAGGGAGCGUAGGCGGUACGGCAAGUCAGAAGUGAAAGCCUGGGGCUCAACCCCGGAAUUGCUUUUGAAACUGUCGAACUAGAGUGUCGGAGGGGUAAGCGGAAUUCCUAGUGUAGCGGUGAAAUGCGUAGAUAUUAGGAGGAACACCGGUGGCGAAGGCGGCUUACUGGACGAUUACUGACGCUGAGGCUCGAAAGCGUGGGGAGCAAACAGG